CAUAGAUGUCUCAAGUUGAGGGAGCAUGCAAUUGGCAUUCUGACUGCAGGAAUGUCUACCAGAGCUGUUGCCAGAGCAUUGAAUGUUAAUUUUUCUACCAUAAGCAGUGUCCAACAUCGUUUUAGAGAAUCUGCCAGUACAUCCAGCUGGCCUCACAACCACAGAGCACAGGUAACCACACCAGCCCAGGGCCUCCACCUCCACAGAGCACAGGUAACCACACCAGCCCAGGACCUCCACCUCCACAGAUCACAGGUAACCACACCAGCCCAGGACCUCCACCUCCACAGAGCACAGGUAACCACACCAGCCCAGGACCUCCACCUCCACAGAUCACAGGUAACCACACCAGCCCAGGACCUCCACCUCCACAGACCACAGGUAACCACACCAGCCCAGGACCUCCACCUCCACAGACCACAGGUAACCACACCAGCCCAGGACCUCCACCUCCACAGACCACAGGUAACCACACCAGCCCAGGACCUCCACCUCCACAGAUCACAGGUAACCACACCAGCCCAGGACCUCCACCUCCACAGACCACAGGUUACCACACCAGCCCAGGACCUCCACAUCCGGCUUCUUCACCUGCGGGAUCAUCUGAGACCAGCUACUCGGACAGCUGAUGAAACUGGAGUAUUUCAGUCUGUAAUAAAGCCCUUUUGUGGGGAAAAACUCAUUCUGAUUGGUUGUGGGUGGGCCUAUGCCCUCUCAGGCCCACCCAUGGCUGCACCCCUGCCCAAUCACAUGAAAUCCAUAGAUUAGGGCCUAAUUUAUUCAUUUCAAUUGACUGGUCUCCUUUUAUGAACUGUAACUCAGCGAAAUCCUUUCCACAAAGGAUUCUACAUGGAACCCAAAAAGAUUCUACGUGGAACAGGAAAAGGGUUCUUCUAUUGGGACAGCUGAAGAAUCCUUUUGGAACCGUAUUUUUCUAAGAGUUUAUGUAAUGUGGUUUGAGGCCACACCCAAACAAAGUGUCACUAGUCUAUGGAUAUGGGUUGGUUUUACCCUACACAUACAAAUCCUGUGAUAAUCUCUUCAAACGUUUUUACCAAAGUAGCCCCCCCCUCCUCUCUCUUUCACACAUGUGUCUAAAGAUUCCAAAUACCAUCGAAGAUCAUAUGAAUUUCCAAUUCCACAUCAAUUUAAGUUUUAGUGAUGCAGCUGAACAAUGAGAUCAGCACCUUGGGGGUUAAACUUUUUUUCAGUAUCCAAUGCAUUCUGGGAUGUAGAAUGAAGCACAAUGGCGGCGAAACUGAAUCACUUGCAACUUUUUUGUGGUCUGUUAUUUCUUUACAGCAAUAUUGCUACAAAUUAGUCUAACGUUUGCUACAGAGUUAACGUGUGAAGACAAUGGCUACAUUUUAUUUUGUCCUUGCAUGGGUCGAUUUGGAAACCAAGCCGACUACCUUCUGGGGUCUUUGACGUUCGCAAGAAAUGCUGAGUUGCACAAUGGCAGUGUGCCGCCACCACGCUCCUCCAGAAUCAAAUGUACCUUUUCAAAAUCACGUUUCCUGGUGUUGAUCUCACCAGUCCGGUCCUUUUAAACCCAUGAAGUGAUGUGAACAAGUGCACACUUUGGGAGAAAUGAGACACCGGAAGGAUUCAAUCUCACGCUCACAGCUGUGUCCCCCUUAUAACAGGUACAUGUCCCCUACAGUGAGUUCUUCCAGCUAGAGGCCCUGACCCACUACCACUGCGUGGUAAGCCUAGAGGACUUGAUGAAGCAGCUGGCCCCAACACUCUGGCCUAAGGGCAGCCUACUUAGUCAGCUGCCCAGAGGAGUGUAAGACCAGAAGUCCUGCCCCAUGAAGGUUCCCUCCGUCAGAGCGCCCUGUCCUGGUGCCCUGUCCUGGUGCACGGUCCUGGUGCCCUGUCCUGGUGCCCGGUCCUGGUGCCCUGUCCUGGUGCACGGUCCUGGUGCCCUGUCCUGGUGCACGGUCCUGGUGCCCUGUCCUGGUGCACGGUCCUGGUGCCCUGUCCUGGUGCCCUGUCCUGGUGCACGGUCCU